UACAGAGGUCCCAAGCGUUGUUCGGAUUCAUUGGGCGUAAAGGGCGCGUAGGCGGCAGGGUAAGUUGGAUGUGAAAUCCUGGGGCUUAACCUCAGAAUUGCAUUCAAUACUGCCUUGCUAGAGAGCUGUAGAGGAGACUGGAAUUUACGGUGUAGCAGUGAAAUGCGUAGAUAUCGUAAGGAACGCCAGUGGCGAAAGCGAGUCUCUGGGCAGCAUCUGACGCUGAGGCACGAAGGCCAGGGGAGAAAACGGG
rnacentral:rRNA from 1 species